GACGAACCGUGCAAACGUUGUUCGGAAUCACUGGGCUUAAAGGGCGCGUAGGCGGGCUGGUAAGUCAGGGGUGAAAGCCCACGGCCCAACCGUGGAAGUGCCUUUGAUACUGCCAGUCUCGAGGGAGGUAGGGGCGUGCGGAACUUCCGGUGGAGCGGUGAAAUGCGUAGAUAUCGGAAGGAACACCGGUGGCGAAGGCGGCGCGCUGGACCUCUUCUGACGCUGAGGCGCGAAAGCCAGGGGAGCAAACGGG
rnacentral:rRNA from 1 species